rnacentral:tRNA from 1 species
AUUUAAGUAGUUUAUUAAAAAUAAUGAUUUGUGGGAUCAUAGAUAUAUAAUUAUCUUAAAUU